CGGCAGCUAUCUUUAAGCAGUUUCCCAUUGUCUGGCGUCGUUUUGUGGUGCUGGGCGGCUACCGUUCCCGUCUCCCGGUGUUCACUGUACGGGUGAGCCAGCACGCUCUAUGAAUUCAAUUAAGUUGUGCCGCAAACCUGAAAGUGAAGUUGCAACGCCACUCUGAGGCAACGAAUGUGAUGAAUACUCAAGCGCAACAUCUGCCAAUUCCUCGAAAGUAAUUUGAAUAUACUUUUACCGCCGUCGGCUAUCUGCAAGAAAAGAAAAAGAGAGCAGCUCGAAGAAUCGAGGAGAAUGAGCGCCUUGAAAUACUCACUCAAACGAAAAGGCCAAGCCCAUUUUCAUGCUGGUGGUGGUGAUGAAAUGCUGGAUUUUUUCUGGCUCGUUCAACCACCGCGUCACAUUUCCAGUUUCGACUCGCUGCGGCGCAGACGUCGCUCGAAGGGGCGGAUGAGCGAUUUCUUGCAAGACGGUUAAAUCACCAAACAAAUCGAAGAAUCAUUACCAGAGCCAGAAAGAAAUGAUAAGCUUGAACCUGCAUAAGUAUUUUAUUUCUAGAUCCAGUGAAGAAUUAUUUAAAAACAAGAGUAUUUGCUGUAAUAAACUUACAUUUACUCCGUUUAAAAGUCAACGGAAAUAAAAAAGGAGCUGCAUAUAUUGCUCGGCAGAUGGCAGCACUGUUUCAAUUGCGCCAUCUAUGGGUUCUGUCAGCCAUAGUUUGAGAGUCAGUCGGAGUGUCCAGUUUUAGAGCCACUGUUACUCCUUUGAAGUUUUUCUAUGUUACGUAACAUAUGUUAAUAUUUAAUGUUAUUAUAUCUUUUAUAAAAUAUAAAAUGUGCGACUAUUUCAAUGAGGAAGAACUUAAGAAGAAUUUUGUUUUCGUGCUUACCACAAGGUUAGUUUUGGUCAUUCUAUUUUUAUGAGAUAAUGAUUUAUUGGGGUUUAAUGGAGACGACUAAACGAAAAAUGUGCAAAAUUAAAUUUGUAUUAUAGCGUUACCAAAUUCCAUUACUAUUACUUAAUAAUUUUUUUUGUAUAAAUUUCUAAAACGAUUCGGACAACCAAUAUAACAAGACACUUUCCUUCCAACCACAAAACAACUUUUCCCAAUUUAGUUGGCCAAUUUUAAAUGGGGCAUUCCAGAGUUUUUUUUUAUAUUGGCUCUUUGUGCAUUUUCCCGCACCGCUUUACGAUCGACAUCUACUGGCGAGUUGUUAGGGGUCAACGGAGCAUAUUGCCAAUCAAAGACUUCAAUUCAAUUUCCCCGACUUGCCGAGACGAUAAUGGCAAUGGGGCAUAAAGCCAAGUGCGGGUGUUGCAGCGCAAACGAUUCCAUUCAAAAUCGGAGCAAUCAAAGCAUCAAGAUGUCAGUAAACGCGGUUAAGACAACAAAAUUACUUUGAGCAUCGUUAGGGCCACGAUUCCGGCUCAAAACUUGGGGAAUUCUCCGGGGACGCUGAAGGGGAAAAACAUGAAAAUCAUCUUUCAACGCGAUGCGCUUUCGACAUUCGCAGCUUGGAGCCAUCGCCAUCCGGCAAAAACAGAACACCAAUCGCAAUCAGGGGAAGAGAAGGUGGGCGGCAGAGGGCUCCCAACAGGAGUCUCUGGCCAAGAGUUGCACAUGUGAUGGCCAGGAAAAUAAGGCAAAAAAUAAGGAGAGAUCCAAGCCAUAACAGAGACAGCCAGCAAGUGCAGAGAAAGGAGUCGAGGAGCCGAAGACUGCUUUUCAUUUGGCUGCCGGCAAUGUCCAUCCAGUUAGGAAUCAACUGGUUUUCUUGGCGGUAUGUGUACAUAUAUAUACUCCCUGAUUCAGCCCUCUUCACUAAAAACCCGAUUCGUUAUCAGGGCUUGAUGAGUCUGUAUAACAGAGCACCAUAUAGUACAAAAUAUAUAUCAUAAGGAAUUUAGCAGUUAAUCAUUAUAGUCUUACCUAAAAUCUGUUAGUGGAAAUUUAUUUCUACAUAUACCAAAUAUAUAACAAACUUUUAUUUAAGUGAACUGAUAUUUAAAUAAACAAAU